GAAAAACAUGUUUUGUUUUUUUUAUUUAUUUAUUUUUCUCAUAAAGGAGGGCCUGAGGUUUAAUCUCUAGUCACCUAUGUAAAAUGUCUGGCUUAUCUAUAAAGAACAUAUAGUUAAGGCACAAAAUAUCUAAAGACAGACAUCUCUCUAAACUAAUUGGUCAGUAACUCUAGCAGAAUAAGUCAGCUUUGGGUUCUGUGAAAGAACCUGUCACCAAAAAAGAUAAUGUUGAGCAUGCUUGAGAUGAAGCUAGGCACUGACUUUUGAUGUCUACAUACAUACAUUUGUGUAUAUCACCCAUGAACACACUUAUACAUAUGCUAACACAAAUGAAAAAAUGCAUGCACAGUUAAAUAAUAAGUGAUUAAUAGAUUAGAUAGAUAGAUAGAUAGAUAGAUAGAUAUGGAUAAAUUGAUAUACUGACAAACAGAUGAAACAUAGAACAUACUUUGCAUGUGAAAAUUUAAAUCAGCAUGAAAUUAAAUUUUGUUAUCAUUGUCAGUGGUUAAUGUCUCCCAUGGAAAAAUUCAAAAUGCUGAAGAGAAAAAUAUAAUUAUUUUUCUAAGGCAGCAAGAUACAAAGAUAGAUACAAUUAUAUACAGGUUCUAUGACUAGGUAAAGAGAGGAAUUGAGGAAAAAUGUUACCCUUUAUAUUAACAAACAUGUGACUAAAAUACAUAGCAACUUUAUCAAGAACUUGGUUCACUCUACAACAUAAAUAACAUCACAAGGCACCAAGAAUAUUUUAAUACUGUUUAUUAUUCUCACAAAUAUUAUGAAUCACUUUUCAUUUUUUGCAAAUUUAAACUUUUAUAAAUUUGGAAUUUGAGAGUUCUUUGAUGAUUUUAAGAUAAGAAUAUGCUUUUUUACUAAUAUUUUAUGUUUAAGAGAAUCAAUGGCUGAAGUGUGUGGCUAUUAUUUUCUACUACGUUAUAUGACCUACCAUUGGUCAUUUUUUUCUAUGUAUUACAAAGGAAUAAACCAGCUCAGAUACUGAUUGCAUUCUAUCAGUCAGCAACUCUCUUUGCAAAACUGGAUGGUUUAAUCCUAGAAUAUAUUCUUAAUAAUAUUUUUCAUAUUUUAUUUUUCUUUUGUAAUAUUUAUUUAUUUACUUUAUAUAUAUAUUAGUACACUGUAGCUCUACAGAUGGUUGUCAGCCUUCUUGUGGUUGUUGGGAAUUGAAUUUAGGAUUUCUGCUCACUCAGGUCAACCCCGCUCACUCUGAUCGGCCCUGCUCGAUCAGUCCUUGCUUGCUCUGACCCAAAGAUUUAUUUAUUAUUAUAAAUAAGUACACUGUUUCUGUCUUCACACACCAGAAGAGGAUGUCAUUUCUCAUUAUGGGUAGUUGUGAGCCACCAUGUGGUUGGUAUGAUUUGAAAUCAGAACCUUCGGGAAGAGCAGUCAAUGCUCUUACAUGCUGAGCCAUCUUGCCAGCCCCAUAUUUUAUUUUCUAUUUUAGACAAUAUUUACUUUUAUUAGGAAAUUCUAAGAGUGUAGAUAUCUUCAGCUGAGCAUGGAAAAAUGUAUCCUAAUAUCAGUUUGGGUGAAACAGGAAUUUUUUUUAAAUGUCAACAUAAAAUUGUCUAUUGCAUGUAUUAUAACACAUGGUAUAAAAUAGUAAUUAUGUUCACAACUCCGUGAGUAUCUGCAGAAUGGCAAAUGCUAUUUUAGAAUCUAUAGGUCUCAUGCUCAUGUUUGCAAUAGUACAAAAAAAUUAAGAGAUGAAACAUUUGACACUAAAUUUAAUAAGGAUACUUUUUAAUACCUUCAAAGAUCUUAAAUAUCUUGUAUACAUUAAAAAGAAAACAAAGUGUUAAGAAUUGUUUAGUAUUAAGUUUAAGUUGAUAAAAUGUCUAUGUUCUAUCUUGGAGAGCGAGCUUAAUCUCCAGGUUCCAUGUAGUAGAAGAAAAGAACUGACUCUCACAAGUUGUCCUCUGAUCUCUCUAAUUAAACUAACUAACUAACUAACUAACUAACUAACUAACUAACUAUUUGUAAAAGAAACUAUCAUUCUUAUGAGAUGAAGGAACAGGAUGAGAGCAUUAUGAAUACACAUGUGGUUUGGUCUGAGCCCAGAGCAUUUCUAACUAUCCCUAGGCUUAGGCCUGGAAGCUAUUAACCUCCACACACUAUAAUCUUCUGCAAGUCUGGACCUUGAACACUUCAGCUUUUAGCCUGUGUCUACAAACCUCGUCCUUGAAUGUUUCAGCCUCCAAAACAUUCUGCUAAACAGGCUCACCCUUUUUAGUUCUUUCUGAACUCUGGCUGGCUGGUUCAACUCAGCUGUACUGGCUCAAACUACCCUCAAGCUGACUUAUGUAAACUUACCUUUCUCAGCUUCUGACUGAAUUGCUCAGCUUGACUUCAAAUUAAAUCUAAAAAUCUGUUCUAAUAUUUUGGCUUCUCUCAUUCUCACUCUUUCUUUACCUGUGUCUAGCUUAUUCUCUUUGUCACCUGUUUCUAACACUGUUCUGGUUAAACAACAACAAUAACAACACAAG
rnacentral:lncRNA from 1 species